UACGGGGGGGGCAAGCGUUGUUCGGAAUUACUGGGCGUAAAGGGCUCGUAGGUGGCCAACUAAGUCAGACGUGAAAUCCCUCAGCUUAACUGGGGAACUGCGUCUGAUACUGGAUGGCUUGAGUUUGGGAGAGGGACGCGGAAUUCCAGGUGUAGCGGUGAAAUGCGUAGAUAUCUGGAGGAACACCGGUGGCGAAGGCGGCGUCCUGGACCAACACUGACACUGAUGAGCGAAAGCCAGGGAGCAAACGGG
rnacentral:rRNA from 1 species